rnacentral:rRNA from 1 species
UACGGGGGGGGGGCAAGCUUGUUCGGAAUUACUGGGCGUAAAGGGCUCGUAGGCGGCCCAACUAAGUCGGACGUGAAAUCCCCAGGCUCAACCUGGGAACUGCGUCCGAUACUGGAUGGCUUGAAUCCGGGAGAGGGAUGCAGAAUUCCAGGUGUAGCGGUGAAAUGCGUAGAUAUCUGGAGGAAUACCGGUGGCGAAGGCGGCAUCCUGGACCGGCAUUGACGCUGAGGAGCGAAAAGCCAGGGGAGCAAACGGG